ensembl:lncRNA
AUCUUUUGGGUUGAGACUGUAUCUAGAGAAGCUGUGCUGUGUAGCCAGAGGUCUUCUUCACCAGUUGGGAAAUUAGUGGUAUCAGGAAGACACCAUUGUCAUGGGAAUGAUAGGAAGCUGUUCUUGUAUGGACUUAGUGACAGCUUUGGCAAAUCACUGCCUAUCCACUAAUAAUAUAAAGCCAGCAAUUCUUUUAAGACAGUUGAACAAUUAGAUUGACAAUUAGCCUCUGUCAUGACUAGUCUGGGAUGGAUUGACAAUGACUUUUCGAUGUGAUGAUCAGUAUUCACUUUUAAUCUUACUGCCUGCUGUAUCCCAGAUGUGGAGUUCAAGUUCUCACUGUGCCAGGAGCUAAGUGUGUAUUCACCAUGGUAUGCCAUAGAAAUAUAGAAAGGGAUAUUAGGAAUCAGCUUAUUUAUCCCUUGUACCCAGUUAAAGGAGCAAAAUUGUGAGGAUAAAGAUUCAGAUCCCAAAGGUGCUGAAAACGUACGGAGAAUGCUUUUUGUUGAUUUCAGUGAACUCUGAAACAGUUCUUACCUAGUUUGCUCAGCGUCAAAAAGGCGCAGUCUGAAAACUGUACUUUGUCUUGGUGCUGGUCCUUAUGAGCUGCUGUGUGUUCCAGUCCUGCCCAGCUGUAUAUCUUUGAAAGGAAAAAAAAUCAGAAAAAAUUCUUCUCAACAGUCUUAAUGAUACAUUCACUGUUCUCUGGGAGUUUCUGAAAACUCCCUGAGUACUACUGAAGUUUGCCAUUGACACGCAUUCAGUUCACAUAAUUAGAAGCAGCUUAUUUCAUUCUUGGAGCUUCACAUACACAAUAAUUGCAUGUUGAAAACACCGCACUUUGGGCUUUUUGUGUUCAAAGUUCGGAUUGGGUCACAGAAGCAACUGGAUCAAUUCCACGAAGACCUAUGUGUGAAAAGUGCAGAGCCUUUCUGCCUCUAAGCUGAAACACAUGCUGUGACUGUAAAUCAAAUACAGAUGAUAGAGGAAGAGUUGUCAUCUGCAGCUGGAGUUGCUGGUCAGCUGAAUGGUGUGGCCAAGUACAUGUCUCAUCAAGCCACAUGAAAGUCCUGGGAUGCUGUGAAUCUGAGGCUUGCAAACCCCUCCUAGGUGGUGUGCUGCUUCUCAGAAAGUGUUUGCAUCAGGGACUUUUCCUUGAGGCAGAACCAGUGACUGGUUCUGUGAAAUGUGUCUUAGGAGCCUCAAGGUGCUGUUCCACUUCUCUCUUGGUGACAAGUGACGUGGGGAGCCCAGCCUUGAAGCAGGAACAAGAAAGCAUUGGCUAUGCUAAGAAGGAUGAUGAAGGGGUCUGCAGUGAACUUUCCCUGCUGGAUCCCCAAGUAAGGAGAGAGUGAGGCAGAGCCCUAUGCCACCUAGAUGGGAAACAGGCAUUCAAAUGUGUGAAUGGAUGUAAAUGACCUUUGGACAAUAUAGACGUUAUUUUCUGAAUUAAGACCUGGGCUAGACAGGCAGAAGGAACAACCCAGGGAAGCUAAAGCAUGUGACUUUUUUCCAUCUGAAAUGUACUGACUGUUUUGGAAGUGUGUGUACUGAACUACGCGCUCUUUUUAAUUCCCAGUCACUGUGAGAAUGGUAGAAGUUGUCACAGCAUUAUGUUGGAUUUGACCUCUGCAUUUCACUUAGUCUUCCUGCAAGUUAAGUUAAAUUACAUGCAUUCUAACAAGUCUUCAUAGCUUCCUUUACCUUAAAGGAGUUGUUUCAGGAUAAUGAGGGAAAAAAUGUUAAUCCUCUGACUCUUAAAAUAAUAUUAAAAGAUAUUUGGAAUUUUUUUUUCCUUGAUUUGAGAACUCUUAUACUCAUCCUUAACUCUAGAAAAUUGAGAAAACCAGCCAUUACUAACCUCAAACUACUCACGCAAUCUGUGAGACUAUGACGUGCUCUUUGCAGCUAUUUUAAUAAAGCAAUUACCU